GAUGAACGCUGGCGGCGUGCCUAAUACAUGCAAGUCGAGCGAACGGACGAGAAGCUUGCUUCUCUGAUGUUAGCGGCGGACGGGUGAGUAACACGUGGAUAACCUACCUAUAAGACUGGGAUAACUUCGGGAAACCGGAGCUAAUACCGGAUAAUAUUUUGAACCGCAUGGUUCAAAAGUGAAAGACGGUCUUGCUGUCGCUUAUAGAUGGAUCCGCGCUGCAUUAGCUAGUUGGUAAGGUAACGGCUUACCAAGGCAACGAUGCAUAGCCGACCUGAGAGGGUGAUCGGCCACACUGGAACUGAGACACGGUCCAGACGCCUACGGGAGGCAGCAGUAGGGAAUCUUCCGCAAAGGGCGAAAGCCUGACGGAGCAACGCCGCGUGAGUGAUGAAGGUCUUCGGAUCGUAAAACUCUGUUAUUAGGGAAGAACAUAUGUGUAAGUAACUGUGCACAUCUUGACGGUACCUAAUCAGAAAGCCACGGCUAACUACGUG
rnacentral:rRNA from 1 species